AGUCGAGGGGAACACUUCUUCCUAUGGUGGCGACCGGCACACGGGGGCGUAACACGUAUACAACUUACCUUUUACAGAGGGGUAGCCUUUACAAAUGAAGAUUAAUACCUCAUAGCAUUGAGAUUUGGCAUCAAAUUUUAAUUAAAGAUUUAUCGGUAAAAGAUGGAUAUGCGUCCUAUUAACUAGAUGGUGAGGAAACGGGUCACCAUGGCAACGAUAGGUAGGGGUCCUGAUAAGGAGAUCCCCCACCCUGGUGCUGAAAAACGGACCAAACUCCUACUGGAGGAAGCAGUGAGGAAUAUUGUGGAAUGGAGGGAACUUUGACCCUCCCCUCCCGCGUGCGGGGAAAAAGGACCCACCGAUUGUAAACAGCUUUUUUUACAGAGAAAA
rnacentral:rRNA from 1 species